AAAGCAGCAGAAGGUCUGUUAUGAUCUAAAAUGGCCUCUGUGGCCCUGAGGUGAGCUUUUAAGUAGGUAAAGCAGGGCAGCUGGGGGCUUCACUGAGGCACGUGGAGGCUGGCCGGGAGGGCGGGACGUGGCAGAGACAAGGAGAAGCACACAUCGCCACACCCAGUGAGGGCAAGGCUGUGGGGACUCCAGACAGCACAGGACUCACAAAGCCGCUUUCUGCCACGUAGCUUGGAAGGCCGCUGGCCAGGGCCCAGUGAUCGGCUGGGGGUGUGCUGUGGGCAGAAAGCAGGGGUCAGAUAGGCCACGCUGGGCUGGAUGUGUGCGUGCAGGAGUCAGAGGGACUGGAUGUGUGUGUGCAGGGGUGAGAGGGGCCGGGCUAGGCUGCACGUGUGUGUGCAGGGGUGAGAGGGGCUGGUCUGGGCUGCACGUGUGUGUGCAGGGGUCAGAGGGGCCAGGCUGCGCUGGAUGUAGGUGUACUGGGGUCAGAUGGACUGGGCGUGUGUGCAGGGGUCUGGGGGUCUCUGGCUCAUGUGCCAUCCUCAGCAUUUACUCUCUUCUCUGAGUGCCAGGGGGUUCAGGAGGCGAGGAGGCCAGGGUGUGGGUUGGAGGACGGCUGUGCUGCCUUCUUCCUCCUCCCCAGGCUGCCGUGCUGGGGCCCCUCCCUCUUGGGAACCCCUCCCUCUCCGGAGGCCGUAUGGCUUCAGUCUGCUUUCUAGGACUCAGCGUUGGUGCCUGCCCUGCCACCCUGACCCUGACUUGUGCUCAAGCCUGGCACCUGGAUCCUGGUUCCUGCUUGAGGCCUGGGGAUGGGGUCCCAAUAGGCUUAUGGGAUCACAGGGCCACUGGGCCACCAGCUGCCCCUCCCUUGGCUGGAGUCCUGCCCUGACCUCCGGACUGGAGUUCCCCUCCUCUUCCAGCCCCACAGGGCCAAGACUCGGCCUCCUGGCUGGAGGGUCCACUGUCUGGGUGGGGCUGGUGGCGCCAGGGUCAAAUCCUGGGGCCUUCAUGCUCAAUUGUUGCUGACGAGGCCGCCUGGACAGCUUGCCUGGUCCCCUGUAUGUCCACUCUGGAUGUCCACAGUGACUCGGGCUCCUCAGCGGCCCACGUCCUCCUCACCAUCUCCCAGAACAUUGGAGUCAGGGAAACAGAGGCGUGUGGACAGGCCCUGGGCCCCUCCCCUAAGACUCACCCGGCCAUCAGGCGUGCGUGGGCCCAAGUACGGCUGGGACUCUCCCAUCAGCACAGGCCACACGUCAAAAAAUUCCUGGGCAGAGAAGAGGAGGCCCACGGAGUACCGCUCACAGUUGAGGUAGGCCCGCACCGUGUAGAAGGCCUUGUGGAACUGCCUCUCAAUGUCCGUCAGCUCCUCAAACACCUUGUUGGCCGACCACAGCAGCACCUGGAGGGAGGGGCACACCUGUGGGCCUGUGGCCACUCCCACCCUCACGCCCGUCUGACCACAGCAGCAGGGGUUUAACUCAAGCCUGACACAGGUGCGCUCCCUGAUCUGACCACCUGCCCAGCCGUGGAGCCCGGCACAGACCCUGAUUGGUGGCUCCGUGGCCAGGUUUCAUCUGAGCUUGUGGGGCCCGGGAGCCGGCUGGCGGUGAGGCCUCGAGGCUGCGGUCGUGUCCCUGAUCACUCAGGAGUGGACGAGUGGAAAGUGGAAUCUGUCGCUUUGAGCUUGACAGGCAAACAUCCGACCAGCCCUUCCUCCGCCCGGCUGCUCCAGAACCACCUGUGGCGAGCAGGGCUUUGAGAACAUCGGGCUGUGGUUUCCGGACGUCAGGCCCCCUGUGGCCUCCGCCAAGCGUCUGAGAGUGAAGCAUUGCAGACGCACUCCACGAGGUCCUGGCCAGACCCCACUCAGGACAUCCCGCUGCACAGGCCCCUGGUUGCUGGGUCAGCGCUGCCGCCAGGCUCAGACUCACCCCAGGGCCCUCCUUGGGCCACCUUUCUCUGCCUCCUGGCUCAGACUCACCCCAGGGCCCUCCUUGGGCCAUCUUUCUCUGCCUCCUUGGUCAAGGCCCAGACCCAGGCCCCGCCAGGCCCUGCCUCCUCACACUCGCGGCGGCCGCUGGGUCUUCUACUGCAUGGUGCCAGCUCCCUCUCCUCCGCUGCGGUGUCCUAGCCCAGCUCUCUCCCUGCCAGGCCCUCUGAAGUUCCAACCCCUGGCACUCAGCUCAUGGCGGGAACAGGACCAGGCUCUCCUGUUGCCAAGGGCAGUGAGAUGUUCGUAGCU
rnacentral:antisense_RNA from 1 species